rnacentral:rRNA from 1 species
GAGUUUGAUCUUGGCUCAGAUUGAACGCUGGCGGCAUGCCUAACACAUGCAAGUCGAGCGGGGUGUAGCAAUACAUCCAGCGGCGGACGGGUGAGGAAUACGUAGGAAUUUGCCUUAGAGCGGGGGAUAGCCCAGGGAAACUUGGAGUAAUACCGCAUGAUGUCGAAAGACCAAAGCAGGGGACCGCAAGGCCUUGCACUCUAAGAGAAGCCUACGUCUGAUUAGCUAGUUGGUGAGGUAAUGGCUCACCAAGGCGACGAUCAGUAACUGGUCUGAGAGGACGAUCAGUCACACUGGAACUGAGACACGGUCCAGACUCCUACGGGAGGCAGCAGUGGGGAAUAUUGGACAAUGGGCGAAAGCCUGAUCCAGCAAUGCCGCGUGUGUGAAGAAGGCCUUCGGUUGUAAG